UAUGCAGCUAGAGACAUGAGCUCUGGGG
rnacentral:piRNA from 1 species